UGUGGGUAGCGGUGAAAUUCCAAUCGAGCCCGGAGAUAGCUGGUUCUCCCCGAAAUAGCUUUAGGGCUAGCCUCAAGGUGAGAGAUACGGAGGUAGAGCACUGAAUGUCCUAGGGGGUAUUGCACCUACCGAAGACUAUCAAACUCCGAAUGCCGUCAUCUUAUACUUGGGAGUCAGACUGUGGGUGAUAAGAUUCAUAGUCGAAAGGGCAACAGCCCAGAUCGUCAGCUAAGGUCCCUAAAUGUAAGUUAAGUGGUAAAGGAUGUGGGAUUGCACAGACAACCAGGAUGUUGGCUUAGAAGCAGCCACUCAUUCAAAGAGUGCGUAAUAGCUCACUGGUCGAGUGAUCCUGCGCCGAAGAUUUCCGGGGCUAAAACUUACUACCGAAGCUACGGCAUCAGUAAUGAUGGGGAGGGGAGCUUCCCAUACGGGUUGAAGCAUGACCGUAAGGACAUGUGGACAGUAUGGGAGUGAGAAUGUUGGCAUGAGUAGCGAGAUGUGGGUG
rnacentral:rRNA from 1 species